GGCUCCUGCUGCUGCAGACACACGGGCUUCCUUGGGGUUCCUCCAACAUACCAGGCACAUGCUGCUUUGCGCCGGCUGUUCCCUCCGCCGGAACGCUUGAAUUUACUUAACUCAGCUCCAACGAGGAUUAAAUGAGGGUCAUCAUUUAUGCCUGUGAACCUCUCCAAAGUUCAGAUUGUUCCUGAACAGUCAGGCAUUUCAAACUCCCACUACCAUGAAGACUUCACUGUUAAGUGACUUUUACAGAUUUAUCCAUGGCAAAAAAAAGAAGAAGAAGAAAGAGGAAGAGGAAGAGGAAGAG